GACAUCAGAUGCUAUGCAGCAAACAUGACAAGAGUAUGAAUUAGCGGAAAGCUUCCCUGGGGAAAUGUAUCCAGGUUCCAGUAAUGGAUAAUUAUAAAUCCAAUAGCUUUUCUCCUACCAGGGUUGCAUUGCAUACUUGCUGUGUAUGCACAGCCCAGGAAGGUCCUCUUUCUUCCCCACCAGUAAUGAGACAGAGAAGAACCCGAUGAAAUGCUGUGUUCUCAAAGUUCCUCUGAUGAGGAGGAGCCUGAAUAGCCUUGUCAUGAGAUCACUGUGUGACAGACGAGAUGAAUUGCCCUCCAGAAGUGCCUGCUCUCAGUGGGGACCAAGGAGGUAACUACCUUAAACAGGUCACAUAACAAUCAGGUAAUUUCACUCUGGAGACCAGAAACCUUAAACUCUUCAAAUGAGUAGCACGUGAUACAGAUAGCAGUUGUGCUUGGGGAAAAUGCCACUCAUCUCAUGAAAGGUUUGCUUCCUUGGUGUGUGUGGAGGAUACCUGGUGCAGAUUGUUCAUACAAAGGCACAUGGGCAUCAUGCAAGCUCCAAAGACUUGUCCAGAAGUCUGGAGGAAGCACUGGUUUGGGUUUGAGAAAAUGUGGUACCUCGUCACUCUACCAUAUAAUUCUUCUGGGAAUUUGGCAAAUCCUUUAGUGCAAAAGCAUUGGUAAUUCAGUGCCUGAAUACCCUAAAUAUGGCCCCCCAAAACUUUGUGUCUGGGUUCCUGGCUUGGCACUGACACAACUGGUCAAGGUUUUUGUGCCGUAUCUUACUGAGUUUAUGAGGACUUUUGGGGGUGGGAUUUUCUCAUUCUAUCAGAAGGUUAAGACUAGUGUGAAUUAGAUUUACCAGUGCCUUUGAAGUUCCUAUUUGUCAUCUUCUCAGCAUGUGUUGGCUCCUAGAUAUGUUUAAAAUCCAGCCUCCUGACUGUAGCACUUGACAUACCACUGCCAUAACAAGAUUGGUCCAUUAAGAAUAUUUCUUCAGUUUUGUUCUCCUUAAUCUGAUAUCCCAAAGUAGCGAACUUCCACCACUCUUCUGGAUUGUUUAGGAUCAUUUCACAAGCUGAUAAAGUCAGGAAGGACAGAUAGCAAUUCUGCAACUUGUCUCGAUGUGCGUGAGUACCCUGCCAAAGUGUAUUACAACAUAUUGAAUGGGUCUGUUGCUGGCUGCACCUGGGCUAUACAGAAUACUAAGAAGGACUCAGAAAAAGUAUUUUUCUUCUUCUCAGUUGGAGGGGAAGAGCUGAUACUGUUUUAACCUUACUCUAUCUUUCUGUUCCUAAGUUGAGCUGGAUAUAUCUAGGUUGGCUACACUUCAGCUUCCACAGUAACAGAUCUUUUUCUGGCAGCAGAAAAAGAUUCAAAUUAUUUUCAUGUGGCAGGUGUUUCAACCAAAUAUCCUGGGAUCAAACUAACAUUUAUCAAGUACCUUGAAUCACAGCAUUAUGUACUCGGUGGGCAUUGCCCAUGGGGAGGUAAUGCAUCAGCAGGCUGAGAAGCUUAGAACACAAAGGAAGAGAAUAACAAAUCACAAAUCAACAAACUCAAUUGUAUUAAACGUGCUGCCCAGGGAUGCUUUCCUCUGGCAAGAAAAUAUUCAGAUGCAAACUUACCAUUAGGAGUUUAAAAAAUAAACCAACUGUAGGUAAAUGAUAGUUAUUUGCUAACAAAUGCAAGCGGUAAGGAUCCUGAGCUCCAUUUCAACUACCUUCCAGUUGUAUCCCAGGUCCCGGAAGCAAUCGUUAUUGUUGUUCAGUUAAACUUGAUUGGGUAUGACAGAACGUUACCAAAUACUGGCCUCUGAAGGGGUUGUUCUUGCUAAGAUUUGAAUAACAUGCUAUUAUGAAUGAUGGUGUUUUAAAUUAGUAAGGAUGCUGAAAGAAGUAAAAAUAGACAAGCCAUUGUGAGAUUUCCCAGCAGCUGAUGUUUGCUUCAUUUGAAAAGACACAUGAGUUUCAAGCAAUCUUAAAUGCAAUGCCAUAUAAAUUAGACGGGAAAGAGGUUUGCAAUGUGUUUUGUUUAGUCAAAAUUGGAAAACUUUGAGAUGUUAUCUUUAUAACUUCUUAGUUUCUGGGAAGGACGGUGAAUUUAGAUUCCCCAUAACCACAUCCUUUAAUGUGGCCUUCUGAUUCCUUAUCGUUUUGAGCUGGGAUGAAACUCAAUACAGUCUGUCAAAGACAAAGUGAUAAAAGGGGCUUUGUGUUAUUUUUGCAACUCUCAGAUUGGAUAGCCAACCUGCUAAUGAGGACUACUAGUUAACAACCUUAGUUAUUGCAAUAGCUAAAGGGUAUACAGGUGCUGGGAAGGGAACCACUGCAAGGUACGGGUAUCCUGGGGUGCCUCCAGUUGGUGGAAAUUUAGCAGGCUCUGGAUCCCAAAACAUAUGGAUCCUGGCAGCGCAACCUAGCAGCUCCAAAUUUCUGGCAUAGGGAACAGUGAAAGAAGGUGACUUCUCUGGCAGUCACAUAACGUAACAUCAGGAGUUGGUAAAGGGCAUGGGGACUGAACUGAAAGCAACCUCUUUCUUUUGUGAUAAUUUUGUGUUUUCUCAUGUGUCCUGUCUGGAGGAAAAGAAUUGUGUUAGGGUCUCUUUGUGGCAGCACUCAGAUGGGGUAGGUGAGGUAGAUUUCAGACAUAGGACAUGAGAGAUCACAUUUUCUCCAUUUUGUUUCUUAGUUUUCUGUUGUUUUUAAUCUUGACUAGUCUCCUUUUAGAUCUGAGGUUCAAGCGCUGGAACACUUCUUGUUCUGGAAGGCUAGAAGGCAAUGCUGCUUUUACUUAACUUUGCACCUUAAAACUCUGCACAGUCAAAGAAAGUUAACAGUGAAAGAAUUUGCCUCUGUUUUCUGGUUCUGCUAUUCCACACUUUUUUUCAGAAGGCCUUCCCUACCAGUUAGGUCCCAUUGUUUCCAUCAGUGGCAUCUCGUAACAAAGCCUAUAUUUGGAUUGUCAUGUUCUUUAAUUGAGCAUCCUUCAACUCUUUAGUUUCAUUUCUCAGCUCCUUUGAUGCUGUCUUAAUAGUAGUUUUCUCUGAAGACUUCUUU